UCCCUAUAGCCAGAGUUGCUCUCUCUCUCUCUCUCUCUCGUCACUCUCUCACUCCCAAUCGGCAAUGAAACCCUAGCCACAAUGUCCAUUCACCUUGUCCCUUGUUUAGCUUCCGCCACCAGUUCCGAUGCCUCAUUUCUUGCAUUGCCACUUGUGACCGCUAGUCCAGGGUGAGCAUUCACCUACUCUAGAGGCUGAGAGUGCUCUUCACCAAUGCAUUUCUGCUUUCAAGGAGGAGCAGCAGCAAAAUCAACUUGAACUCAUUCUGACAAUUGGAAAGACUGGAAAGUUGGUGAUGAUCUUUCAAGGUCUAUGAGAGAUCUCUGUCAGGUUCUGGUGCUAGCCCAAAUGCAACUGCUGCUGCUCAAUUUGUGAGAGCUGAAAUGCUUCCAAGUGGCUAUUUCAUUCGGCCAUGCAAGGAUGGAGGGUCAAUUAUCCAUAAAGUUGAUGUGUUAGUUUGGAUCAGCUGCCAAGCAAGUUGAUAUGUUAAAUCAUUAAAGAAGGUGAAAGGCUUCAAGUUUGUGUCAUGUUGGACAUCAAAGAGGAUAUAGCUUUUGAGAAGACAUGCUUACUAAAUUAAAUUUGACUUGAAUAUGCCCUGUGCUGCACUACGGUUACAUAUUUUCAUCUUUAUUUUAAAUGGAAUUCAAUUAUUGUUUGAUGAUUUAGUGAAGUUAUAAGAAAGGAAAUUUGUUAA